rnacentral:rRNA from 1 species
UACGUAGGGGGCAAGCGUUGUCCGGAUUUAUUGGGCGUAAAGCGCGUGUAGGCGGCCCGGUAAGUCCGCUGUGAAAGUCGGGGGGCUCAACCCCUCGGAUGCCGGUGGAUACUGUCGGGCUUGAGUGCGGAAGAGGCGAGUGGAAUCCUGGUGUAGCGGUGAAAUGCGCAGAUAUCAGGAGGAACACCAAUUGCGAAGGCAGCUCGCUGGGACGUUACUGACGCUGAGACGCGAAAGCGUGGG